UACGUAGGGGGCAAGCGUUAUCCGGAUUUACUGGGUGUAAAGGGAGCGUAGACGGCGAAGUAAGCCUGAAGUGGAAGCCCGCGGCCCAACCGCGGAACUGCUUUGGGAACUGCUUAGCUGGAGUAUGGGAGGGGUAAGCGGAAUUCCUGGUGUAGCGGUGAAAUGCGUAGAUAUCAGGAGGAACACCGGUGGCGAAGGCGGCUUACUGGACCAUGACUGACAUUGAGGCUCGAAAGCGUGGGGAGCGAACAGG
rnacentral:rRNA from 1 species